rnacentral:lncRNA from 1 species
UUUGUUCUAGAGCACACACACCUGAAAGCGCUAGUUAUAGCAACAGGAUUGUAAACAUUUUGUUAGACAAUUGACCACCUAAAACAUCUCCUAGCUGCCUUGGGGGUGAGCCCACCCAUUGGACGAGACACUGCAUGACGAGACACUGUGUGACGAGACACUGAGCAGCAACAGCAGCAGGAGUGCCCGUUGAGAUGAGGACUCCCAGCAGGAAGGUGAAGAUGUAUUAGCCCAUUUGAAACAAGAUUCCUGUGACAGAAAAUAAAAAGAAGCAAUCAAUAAUGUGCAAGGAUGAGUCUUCCACUAGCAGCCUUUGGAUGAAGACAUAGAACUCUCAGCUAUGCCUGCGCCAUGACAGCCUGGAUGCUGCCAUGCUCCCACCUUGAUCAUAAUGGACUGAACCUCUGAACCUGUAAGCCAGCCCCAAUUAAAUGUUGUUUNUAAAACACUAACUAAGACAAGGGCCAGUCUCUCUGAAAUAUACAGAAGGUAGUGAUUCCCUGCAUUGGUUCAUAGAACUUCUUAGGUUGCUUUGCCCAUGGCUCACCUACUUGUGUUUCACUGGUCUCAUGUGGAAGGGAGGGUGUUGCCAACAAUGAAAAGGAUCACAUUCUUGGAAUGUAGUGGCUAUGGCCUAGAAUUCAGGAGAAUUUGUACAAGACAUAUUUUUUCUAAAUUUAUGUUACAAAAUUGUGAACAGUACAUUUAGCAUGACCAGAAAGGAAGUCAUUUUUUCUUCACCUUAAGAUUAAGAUUGUUUGCUGAGACUCAGUGAAGCAUAGCGGGAACCACUGGGAGCCAGGCAUGGAACAAUUCUGUGAUGUAACUGAUAUUGUGUUCAUGGUAAAUAGAGCCCAGUGGAUCAC